rnacentral:rRNA from 1 species
AGUGAACGCUGGCGGUAGGCCUAACACAUGCAAGUCGAACGGCAGCACAGUAAGAGCUUGCUCUUACGGGUGGCGAGUGGCGGACGGGUGAGGAAUACAUCGGAAUCUACUUUUUCGGGGGGGAUAACGUAGGGAAACUUACGCUAAUACCGCAUACGACCUACGGGUGAAAGCAGGGGAUCUUCGGACCUUGCGCGAUUGAAUGAGCCGAUGUUGGACUAGUUAGUUGGCGGGGUAAAGGCACAACAAGGCGACGAUCCGUAGCUGGUAUGAGAGGAUGAUUCGCCAGACGGGAUCUGAGGAACAGCCCAGACUCUUACGGUAAGAAGCAGCGGGGAAUAUUACACGAUGGGCGAGAGGCUGAUCCAGCCAUACCGCGUGGGUGAAGAAGGACUUCGGGUUGGAGAGUCCUUUUGUUCGGAAAGAAAAGAAGCACGUUAAUACGCCACUGUACUGACGGUACCCAAAGAAUAAGCACCGGCUAACUUCGUG